rnacentral:rRNA from 1 species
CCCCUAGACGUUCUGGGCUGCACGCGCGCUACAAUAAUACGCACAACAAGUAUUACCAACUCCGAAAGGACAAGGUAAACAAUAGAAAAGGUACUGUAAUGGUUAUAGAUCCUUGCAAUUAUUGAUCUUCAACGAGGAAUUCCUAGUAAGUAUGUGUCAUCAUCACGCACUGAUUACGUCCCUGCCCUUUGUACACACCGCCCGUCGCUCCUACCGAUUGGGUGAUCCGAUGAAAUUCUCGGACACGUAGAGCUUUAUGCUUUUGGAUAAGAGAUUUAAAUCGUAUUACUUAGAGGAAGGAGAAGUCGUAACA